rnacentral:lncRNA from 1 species
UUUUUUUUCAAAGUAAUUUUUGACUCCUUUAAAAUCUUGCCACCAAUGUAUCAAUCGCCCGCAUCUUGCCAACUGUCUUACUGUCUGGUUUUGGCUACAACCAUCCAAUAGGAGUGAAGUGGUCUCUUGUUGCGGGUUUUGUUUGCAUUUCUCCAGUGACACAACGUCGAGCCCCCUUUCAACUCCCUGUUUGUUUAUCUUUGCUGGAGAAAUAACUAUUCAAAUCCUUGGUUCAUUGUGAAAUUGGGUUGUCUUUUAUUGUAAGAUUGUCAGAAUUCUUUAUAUAUUCUCUAUACUAGACUCAUAUCAGAUAAAUGGUUUGCAAAAUUUCUCUCCCAUUCUGUGGGUUCCUUUUAUUCUCUUUAUUGUCUCUUCCCAAACCCAGAAGUAUUAAAUUCUGUUUUUUCCCCUUUGUUUUCUUUUGCUUUUGAUAUUAUAUCUUUAAAAAUAAAUUGCAUAAUCCAAGGUAUUGAAGAUUUUACCCCAGAAAUUUUGUUCUCAGAAUUUUAUAUUUUUGUUCCUUACAUUUAGGCAUUUGAUUCAUAUGAGUUAAUUUUUGUAUAUCAACUGAGGUAUGGUCCAACUUCACUAUUUUGCAUGUAUAUAUCCAGUUGUCCCAGCACUGUCUUGUCGAAAAGAUUCUUUUCCCUCGUAGGAUCAGCUUGUGAGUUUCUGUAAUGAAGCCAGAUGUAUUGUGAUGGGGAUUGUGUUUUAUUUCUAGAUCAUUUGGGGAACUAUUACCCUCCUGAUAUUAAUUCUUCUAAUUGUAAACACAUACAUCUUUCCAUUUAUGUAGCCUAAUUUAUUUUAAUGAUAUUUUGUAAUUUAUGGUGUAUAGGCAUUGCACUUCUCUCAAUAACUUUAUGCCUAUUUUAAUUUUUUUGUGUGCUAUUGUAAAUUAUGGAAUUGUUUUCUAAAUUGUUUCCUUUGCAGAAAGUUCAUAAAAGUACAUGAAAAUAAAUUGAUAUUUGUAUAUUGAUCUUGUGUAUUCCUUAAGUUUUUCAUUCUGUGAAAUGUUUUUAUUUUCCCUUCUUUCUGCCUUCCUUCACUUUCAGAAUUUUAGAAGCUUUUUUUUUCCCCAAAUUCACCUGCCUUCCUUUUAUCCCAUUCCAAUUUUGCUUUUUCCAAUUAUUUAAAUAGACCUUGAAGUGGUCUUUGGGCUGCUGUACUAUUUCCAGCUCGAUCUUGCCACUUCCAUUGGCUGUCAUCAUGGCAGGUGGACUUCUGAUUUGGUGGUCAAUCUGGGAGAGCCAUGUUAGUGC